GAUGAACGCUGGCGGCGUGCCUAAUACAUGCAAGUCGAGCGAACGGACGAGAAGCUUGCUCCUCUGAUGUUAGCGGCGGACGGGUGAGUAACACGUGGAUAACCUACCUAUAAGACUGGGAUAACUUCGGGAAACCGGAGCUAAUACCGGAUAAUAUUUUGAACCGCAUGGUUCAAAAGUAAAAGACGGUUUUGCUGUCACUUAUAGAUGGAUCCGCGCUGCAUUAGCUAGUUGGUAAGGUAACGGCUUACCAAGGCAACGAUGCGUAGCCGACCUGAGAGGGUGAUCGGCCACACUGGAACUGAGACACGGUCCAGACUCCUACGGGAGGCAGCAGUAGGGAAUCUUCCGCAAUGGGCGAAAGCCUGACGGAGCAACGCCGCGUGAGUGAUGAAGGUCUUCGGAUCGUAAAACUCUGUUAUUAGGGAAGAACAAAUGUGUAAGUAACUAUGCACGUCUUGACGGUACCUAAUCAGAAAGCCACGGCUAACUACGUG
rnacentral:rRNA from 1 species